UACGGAGGAUCCAAGCGUUAUCCGGAUUUAUUGGGUUUAAAGGGUGCGUAGGCGGAUUGAUAAGUUAGAGGUGAAAUGUCCGAGCUCAACUCGGGAACUGCCUCUUAUACUGUUGAUCUAGAGAGUAGAUGCGGUAGGCGGAAUGUAUGGUGUAGCGGUGAAAUGCUUAGAGAUCAUACAGAACACCGAUUGCGAAGGCAGCUUACCAAUCUAUAUCUGACGUUGAGGCACGAAAGCGUGGGGAGCAAACAGG
rnacentral:rRNA from 1 species